rnacentral:lncRNA from 1 species
UGACAGGGUGGGAAAGACGUCACUGGGGGCCAGGCAGGGCCUUACCAGGAGGCAGCAUCUGAGCAGAGGCCUGAGGGCAGCCGGGGGCUGGGCAGGGGUGACCAAGCGGGACAGACGAGCUGCUGGGACGCCAGCAGGGCUGGCACAGUGCGGGGAUCACAGCAUGAUUGCAGCGGGCAGCUGUUGAAGACUGGAAGCGCGGCAGUGGCAUGGUUACCUCACACAGUCGGAAGAGCGACCUGGAGAAAGAGGCCUUCGGGAUGGGGAGCAGGAAGUGUGUCGCGCCCGGGGGCUGGAGAAGGCCAGGCAGCAGCUGCAGGAGGAGCUCCGGCAGGUCAGCGGCCAGCUGUUGGAGGAGAGGAAGAAGCGCGAGACCCACGAGGCGCUGGCCCGGAGGCUCCAGAAACGGGUCCUGCUGCUCACCAAGGAGCGGGACGGUAUGCGGGCCAUCCUGGGGUCCUACGACAGCGAGCUGACCCCGGCCGAGUACUCACCCCAGCUGACGCGGCGCAUGCGGGAGGCUGAGGAUAUGGUGCAGAAGGUGCACAGCCACAGCGCCGAGAU